rnacentral:rRNA from 1 species
AGUGAACGCUGGCGGUAGGCCUAACACAUGCAAGUCGAACGGCAGCACAGUAAGAGCUUGCUCUUACGGGUGGCGAGUGGCGGACGGGUGAGGAAUACAUCGGAAUCUACUUUUUCGUGGGGGAUAACGUAGGGAAACUUACGCUAAUACCGCAUACGACCUACGGGUGAAAGCAGGGGAUCUUCGGACCUUGCGCGAUUGAAUGAGCCGAUGUCGGAUUAGCUAGUUGGCGGGGUAAAGGCCCACCAAGGCGACGAUCCGUAGCUGGUCUGAGAGGAUGAUCAGCCACACUGGAACUGAGACACGGUCCAGACUCCUACGGGAGGCAGCAGUGGGGAAUAUUGGACAAUGGGCGCAAGCCUGAUCCAGCCAUACCGCGUGGGUAAAGAAGGCCUUCGGGUUGUAAAGCCCUUUUGUUGGGAAAGAAAAGCAGCAGGUUAAUACCCUGCUGUUCUGACGGUACCCAAAGAAUAAGCACCGGCUAACUUCGUG